GCCUUCUUAGCUCAGUGGCAGAGCGCAUUCUUGGUAAGAAUGAGGUCCCGAGUUCAAUCCUCGGAGAAGGCU
rnacentral:tRNA from 1 species